AUUGAACGCUGGCGGAAUGCUUUACACAUGCAAGUCGAACGGCAGCACGGACUUCGGUCUGGUGGCGAGUGGCGAACGGGUGAGUAAUGUAUCGGAACGUGCCCAGUCGUGGGGGAUAACGUAGUGAAAAUUACGCUAAUACCGCAUACGAUCUAUGAAUGAAAGCGGGGGAUCGCAAGACCUCGCGCGAUUUGAGCGGCCGAUAUCAGAUUAGGUAGUUGGUGGGGUAAAGGCCCAACAAGCAAAAGAUCUGUAGCUGGUCUGGGAGGAAGACCAGCGACACUGGAACUGAGACACGGUCCAGGCUCCUACGGGAGGAAGCAGUGGGGAAUAUUGGACAAUGGGCGAAAGCCUGAUCCAGCCAUUCCGCGGGCAGGAUGAAGGCCCUCGGGUUGUAAACUGCUUUUGUACAGAACGAAAAGGUUUCUACUAAUACUAGGAGCUCAUGACGGUACUGUAAGAAUAAGCACCGGCUAACUACGUGCCAGCCGCCGCAGUAA
rnacentral:rRNA from 1 species